rnacentral:tRNA from 1 species
UUUAAAACCCUAGAGAUGAAUAAUGUUUCUU